AUAUCAAGCUAUUAAAAGACAAGAAAAUAUACUCACAAGAGGAAGAAAUCAUAUAUUGGAUAAAAUUGUUGGAUUACAGUAGUGGAUAUUACAGGAGGAAGAGCAUCCAAAUGUGAUGCAAAUCUAAAUAUUUUCUCGACAAAGAAACUUAAACUAAAAGCAUCCAUAAACAUCCCUGAUACUUAACUAAAACAUAACCGAGGAACAUCAUCGAAUAGGAACAACAUCCCUACAACUUAACUAAAACUGAAAGCAUCCAUCAUCAUCAUCAUGAACUGGAACAUCAUCAUCAUCAUCAUCAUCAUCAUCAUCAUCAUCACAUCGCAGUGUACUUGCCAUGCACCCAUAUAAUCAUCCAUGUAUAUUUUGACUCUACAAAGAAAAUGACAAAAUGAACCGUUAACACACAGUGCAUUAAGAAGUAAGAACCACUUUGCGCACACUUACUGCUCAUCAGCACAUUUUUUUGGUCUGGACAACAGUCUAAUAGCAAAUAAGAAGAAACAAAUAAACAAGAUAGCACUACAAUUUGAACACAAAUUCGUAUGUGAUUAUGAGAAGAUAGCAGCAUGAGUGUUAGUUGUCCUUGAUGACUAAUCCAGACGCCACAAUAUACGACACAACCUGCAAAAAACAUGGCUAAAUAAAAUUAUAUAGACAUUGGCCUAAGUGAUGUGCAUAGGGCAAUGUGAUUGACAGUACCACUUCUCUUUUCUUCUCCAGUUAGUUAGCAAACUAGACCAAAACGGCUUCUCAUCUGAAACUGAACCAAAACAUCUAUUUCUAGUUGGUUUCGGUCAUCCAACAGGAAAUAGGGAAACCUAUAAGUGCUCACCACGCUUUGAAACCAACCUACAACCCCAAAUCCACUGAAAUUAAUUUACAUGGUCAUCACCAGCCUAGAGAGACAUCGCUAAUUCUUUAGAUCUACAGUAAAACUGUUUUCUGUGAACCAAUAGAUCUAUUUAUUUCUAAAUAAAUCCACUGAAACCUACAGCCCCAAAUCUUAUAAAUGUGCGUCGACAGUAGCACAGAACCUAGCACAGCUCAAUGGCCAUGGACACAACGAGCAGUAGCACGGUAAGGAGAGGGAGAGAGUUUACCUUCAAUGGCAUCGUCCAUGACUUGCUACACGAACUUGACUUGCUCCAUGGCGUCCCCCUUCAUCGAGUUGGAAUACCUAGUUGAUUUUAAUUAUACUAAGAUUCUUUCAUGUGAAACUAAAUAGUGGAAUUAAUACAUGCAACACACAAUAUAGGCCUAACACACUAACUUGUAUUGAAAUUGCUGACAGAGUAACUAAUUUGUAGUGGAAUGGCCAAAAGAGUACCUUAUAUAGGGACAACCUGUAGGUGAUUAUUUCCUUGUAGUGUAUUUCAUGAGUACAGGAUGAUAGUAUUAAAAAAAAUAGUCCAUCAAGGUUAUCCUUGUAUCUAGUUUGUUCUUUCCCUUUCCAUAAAGAAUUUGCAGAACUAAACCAUUAGUUCUUUCCAGAUUUUAUACAUGUAAUAGGCAGAAUAGAAGUUGUUCCUGACUUUUAGUGGAGAAUAGUAUCCGAAGAAAUACAUCUAUAGAAGCACUGUGUCCUGAACUCAUGUUAACCACAAUAACAAUAUCCUUUUUAGUUGAAAAGGUAAACUUCUAAUAUUUAAAUAUUAUUCAUGAUUUUUAAAGGAUAUAGCGAGAUACCAUGUUGACAAAAAGAUAAUACAACUGUGAUUUAUUUUAACUAGAAGUGCAUAUGAAUACAUAACAGAAUUUAUAUUGGAGACUGUACUGAGGUA
rnacentral:lncRNA from 1 species